UUAUUGCAUUUGCACCUGAAUCCAAAACUACCCAAGAGAUAAUGAACAAAGUGGCUUCAGCCCCAUUCCUAAAAGGAAGAACAAUCAUGGGGUGGCCUGAUGAAAAAAGCAUGGAUGAAUUGGAUUUGAACUAUUCAAUAGACGCAGUGAGAGUCAUCUUUACUGAUACCUUCUCCUACCAUUUGAAGUUUUCUUGGGGACAUAGAAUCCCCAUGAUGAAAGAGCACAGAGACCAUUCAGCUCACUGUCAAGCAGUGAAUGAAAAAAUGAAGUGUGAAGGUUCAGAGUUCUGGGAGAAAGGCUUUGUAGCUUUUCAAGCUGCCAUUAAUGCUGCUAUCAUAGAAAUCACAACAAAUCAUUCAGUGAUGGAACAGCUGAUGUCAGUUACUGGUGUACAUAUGAAGAUAUUACCUUUUGUUGCCCAAGGAGGAGUUGCAACUGAUUUUUUCAUUUUCUUUUGCAUUAUUUCUUUUUCUACAUUUAUAUACUAUGUAUCAGUCAAUGUUACACAAGAAAGACAAUACAUUACGUCAUUGAUGACAAUGAUGGGACUCCGAGAGUCAGCAUUCUGGCUUUCCUGGGGUUUGAUGUAUGCUGGCUUCAUCCUUAUCAUGGCCACUUUAAUGGCUCUUAUUGUAAAAUCUGCACAAAUUGUCGUCCUGACUGGUUUUGUGAUGGUCUUCACCCUCUUUCUCCUCUAUGGCCUGUCUUUGAUAACUUUAGCUUUCCUGAUGAGUGUGUUGAUAAAGAAACCUUUCCUUACGGGCUUGGUUGUGUUUCUCCUUAUUGUCUUUUGGGGGAUCCUGGGAUUCCCAGCAUUGUAUACACAUCUUCCUGCAUUUUUGGAAUGGACUUUGUGUCUUCUUAGCCCCUUUGCCUUCACUGUUGGGAUGGCCCAGCUUAUACAUUUGGACUAUGAUGUGAAUUCUAAUGCCCACUUGGAUUCUUCACAAAAUCUAUACCUCAUAAUAGCUACUCUUUUCAUGUUGGUUUUUGACACCCUUCUGUAUUUGGUAUUGACAUUAUAUUUUGACAAAAUUUUGCCCGGUAAGUACUAACAUGGCUAUAAUUUAACACAAUUUCAAUAAUAGCAUGUCUUUAAAACAACUCUACAAUGUACUAAAUAAAAAUUAGCAAGCAGUUUUUCAAAAUUUCUACAACAAGCCUAAUGAUAUUCUGUAGUUUGUUUAUAGAAUCACUUUCUAAGACUUGGCUCUGCUAUAACACUCCAGAGUGUUUCUUUUUAAAAAGAGACACUUGUGAGAGAUUAUGGAUGAUGAUACUAUUAGUGUUUAUGUCAGAACUAGAUGAAGAAUGCUGGUGCUUGAUACUUGAUCUUAGAAAUCUCUAAGUGCUUUCCCAUUUAACUCACUUGAUAUACAAUAGUGGGUUAUUAGUAAAAAUAUUAUAAUUGCAUAGUCGAUGUACAAUCUUUCCUUUCUUUCUUUCUUUCCUUUUUUUUUUUUUUUGAGAAGUCUCGCUCUGUCACCCAUGCUGGAGUGCAGUGGCGCGAUCUCUGCUCACUGCAACCUCUGCCUCCCGGGUUCAAGUGAUUCUCGUGCCUCAGCCUGCUGAGUAGCUGGGACUACAGACAUGCCCCACCAUGCCUGGCUAAUUUUUGUGUUUUCAGUGGAGACGAGGUUUCACCAUGUUGACCAGGCUGUCUUGAACUCCUGACCUCAGGUGAUCUGCCCCUUCGGCCUCCCAAACUGCUGGAAUUACAGGCAUGAGCUACCAUGCCACCCUUAUGUACAAUCUUUUCUAUAGAGAAACAAAAUCUUCAUCUGUGCAUCUCUGGGGUCUGUCUGUCAAUUCCUCGUAUAUACUAGGUAAGUGCUAAGGAAGAGGCAGAAAGGGAAAUUGGGAAAUGAAGGGAAGGAAGGGACCUUCUGAAUAGUUUAUUCAUCACGUUUCUGGGAGUACUGAUACAGAAUAAUGACUCGCUGAUUAUUUUAAAACUUCCCAAGUAAGAAAUUUCGGAAUGUAUCAUUAGUGUUAUGACAUUUACUAUUAUUCUUGGUGUAUUGACCUUAUCUAACCCAAAUGGAGGAAAUCACAAGCAGGAGAAUUGCUUGAACCCAGGAAGCAGAGGUUGUAGUGAGCCGGGAUCAUGCUACUGGACUGCAGCCUGGGUGACAGAGUGAGACUCCAUCUUAAAAAAUAAAAAAUAAA
rnacentral:sRNA from 1 species